rnacentral:rRNA from 1 species
AACUAACGCUGGCGGCGCGUCUUAAACAUGCAAGUCGAACGGAUGUAGCAAUACAUUAGUGGCGAACGGGUGAGUAACACGUAGGUAAUCUACCUCUGAGUCUGGAACAACCUGAUGAAAAUCAGGCUAAUACUGGAUAGUAUUAAUUUGGCGAAUGUCGGAUUAAUUAAAGCAUUUAUGCGCUGAGAGAUGAGCCUGCGGCUGAUUAGCUAGUUGGUAGGGUAAUGGCUUACCAAGGCGACGAUCAGUAGUUGGUCUGAGAGGACGGCCAGCCACACUGGGACUCGAGACACGGCCCAGACUCCUACGGGAGGCAGGCAGUGGGGAAUUUUGGGACAAUGGGCGCAAGCCUGAUCCAGCAAUGCCGCGUGAGUGAAGAAGGCC